AGAGUUUGAUCAUGGCUCAGAUUGAACGCUGGCGGCAUGCUUUACACAUGCAAGUCGAGCGGCAGCGCGGGACUCAGGCAACUGAGCCCUGGCGGCGAGCGGCGAACGGGUGAGUAAUGCAUCGGAACGUGUCCCGUAGUGGGGGAUAACUCGGCGAAAGCCGAGCUAAUACCGCAUAUGCUCUACGGAGGAAAGUGGGGGACCUGUAAGGGCCUCACGCUAUGGGGGCGGCCGAUGCCCGAUUAGCUUGUUGGUGGGGUAAUGGCUUACCAAGGCAACGAUCGGUAGCUGGUCUGAGAGGAUGAUCAGCCACACUGGGACUGAGACACGGCCCAGACUCCUACGGGAGGCAGCAGUGGGGAAUUUUGGACAAUGGGGGCAACCCUGAUCCAGCCAUGCCGCGUGCGGGAAGAAGGCCUUCGGGGUUGUAAACCGCUUUUAGCUGGGAAGAAAAGAUCACGGAUAACACCCGUGGUUCUUGACGGUACCGGCGGAAUAAGCACCGGCUAACUACGUGCCAGCAGCCGCGGUAAUACGUAGGGUGCGAGCGUUAAUCGGAAUUACUGGGCGUAAAGCGUGCGCAGGCGGUUCGUUGUGUCUGUCGUGAAAGCCCCGGGCUUAACCUGGGAAUGGCGAUGGAAACUGACGAGCUUGAGUGUGGCAGAGGGGGGUGGAAUUCCGCGUGUAGCAGUGAAAUGCGUAGAGAUGCGGAGGAACACCGAUGGCGAAGGCAGCCCCCUGGGCUAGCACUGACGCUCAGGCACGAAAGCGUGGGGAGCAAACAGGAUUAGAUACCCUAGUAGUCC
rnacentral:rRNA from 1 species